rnacentral:misc_RNA from 1 species
CAAGUAGGCCCGUAGCCUUCGUCUGCGCCCACAGCCGGCACAAUCACAUGGAAACCAAUUCAUCAGCGCCAUGGUACGGCGUAAAUACAGCAAGAAACAGAGAUGAAAAACAAAAAAAAAAACAUGCGCGGGGAUUAAUCAAAAUCUCAUCUUUUUUUAGCCAAAAGAAGUACAUGUAAUAAUAAUAAUUAAUAAAGGGGAGAAAGGUGUGAAGGGAUUAGUUAAGGAAAAGGAGUGGAACUGGAAUGAAACCAUCAUGGGUUUUGCAAGCGGCCGUUGUUGGUUCCAAGGGCCAAGAAGGGGUCAGAGUCACAGAACCGAACCGAGCCCUACAGCAGCAUCGCCGAGAAGAAAGGUCACGGAGGAGGAGACGGCGACGAGGUGUGGCGCCGCAACCGUUCACGGACGGCGGCAGGGAAGACGAAGCAGCAGCCGGCAUAGGCACGGCAGUACGGCACCACAGGAAGGUAGAAAUACUCCAGGGGACAUUCCAUCAAGAGAGAGGGAGGGAGGGAAGGAGAGAGAGGUACCCAUGGUGGACAUGGCAGGGCGAC